rnacentral:rRNA from 1 species
UACGUAGGUCCCGAGCGUUGUCCGGAUUUAUUGGGCGUAAAGCGAGCGCAGGCGGUUUGAUAAGUCUGAAGUAAAAGGCUGUGGCUUAACCAUAGUACGCUUUGGAAACUGUCAAACUUGAGUGCAGAAGGGGAGAGUGGAAUUCCAUGUGUAGCGGUGAAAUGCGUAGAUAUAUGGAGGAACACCGGUGGCGAAAGCGGCUCUCUGGUCUGUAACUGACGCUGAGGCUCGAAAGCGUGGGGAGCGAACA